AUUGAACGCUGGCGGCAGGCCUAACACAUGCAAGUCGAGCGGAUGAAGGGAGCUUGCUCCUGGAUUCAGCGGCGGACGGGUGAGUAAUGCCUAGGAAUCUGCCUGGUAGUGGGGGAUAACGUCCGGAAACGGGCGCUAAUACCGCAUACGUCCUGAGGGAGAAAGUGGGGGAUCUUCGGACCUCACGCUAUCAGAUGAGCCUAGGUCGGAUUAGCUAGUUGGUGGGGUAAAGGCCUACCAAGGCGACGAUCCGUAACUGGUCUGAGUGGAUGAUCAGUCACACUGGAACGGAGACACGGUCCAGACUCCUACGGGAGGCAGCAGUGGGGAAUAUUGGACAAUGGGCGAAAGCCUGGUCCAGCCAUGCGGCGUGUGUGAAGAAGGUCUUCGGAUUGUAAAGCACUUUAAGUUGGGAGGAAGGGCAGUAAGUUAAUACCUUGCUGUUUUGACGUUACCAACAGAAUAAGCACCGGCUAACUUCGUG
rnacentral:rRNA from 1 species